UACGACGGGGGCUAGCGUUGCUCGGAAUGACUGGGCGUAAAGGGCGCGUAGGCGGACGGCUUUGUCGGGCGUGAAAUUCCAGGGCUUAACCUUGGGGCUGCGUUCGAGACUGGUUGUCUAGAGUUUGGAAGAGGGUCGUGGAAUUCCCAGUGUAGAGGUGAAAUUCGUAGAUAUUGGGAAGAACACCGGUGGCGAAGGCGGCGACCUGGUCCUUGACUGACGCUGAGACACGAAAGCGUGGGUAGCAAACAGG
rnacentral:rRNA from 1 species